CGCCCACUUCCUCACUUCGCGGCUCUGGAAAGUCUGGGCCAGGACGCAUUCUUUGUCUGACUCGGGGCGGUGGGGGGGGCGGUCGCGCCCCCCUACACCCCCUUCCCGGCGGCGAGGCCGGGAGGGGCGGAGCCCGCGUCGCGGCGAGGGCGGGCCCGGGUGGCCUCUCCAGCACCCCCGGCCUCGCGCUGCCCCCCGCGGCCCCCACCUGUUCCCUGGCGGCUGGGGCCGGGGUCCCUGGGGACUCGCGGGUCCCCUGAUUCAGCGCGCCCAGCCCGGCCCGGCUGGAACAAAGUGCGGCGGGCCCAGGCCCGGCGGCUCCCGGCUGCUCCGCCCGGCCGCGCGGGGCAGUUUGCAAACACAAAGUGCGCCGCAGAGCCAGCCAGAGUUGGAGCGGCCGCCGGCCCAGCCCCACGCGUCUCCGCGCGCCGCCACCUACCUGUCGGGCCCGGCUCAGCCCGCGCGGGGCAUGGGGCUCGCUGGGGUCCCCGCCUGCCCGCCGCCGCCCUGGCGUCCUCCCGCGCCGCGCGCCCUAGCCGCGCCGGGCCAUCGCGGGCGCCUCGGCGGGAGCUCCGCGCGCCCCAGCUCCGUGCUGCUCCGGCCUCCGGGGCCCGGGCGUCUCCGCCCCCCGGCUCAGCCCUGGCUCCUCCCCACCGCGCCGCGCCCUCCUCGCGCGCUGGGCUCCGUCCCGGCCGCCGCCGCUCGCUCCGGGCUGCAGGGCGGCCGGCUCCGGACUCCGCGGGCUGCGACCUGAGCCGGUGCGAAGGCGGCGCGCGGGCGGGGGUGGGGCCGGGGCGCGCCGCCGAGCGGCGGGCAGGCGGGGCUCAACUCCGCGCUACCGUAAUCCGCCUAAAGCUGGCGCAGCACGUCCACUGCCGGGCCGCGGGGAGACCACGUGGACCGAACUUCAGGGAGAACAGACCGGCACGUGGGACGGGCCGUGGGGCUACGGAUCUGAAAGGGGCUUUGCAGAGAGACCUCAGAGGGUGUCCGGCCUCGGAGCGGUUCCAGGGAACGCUGUGCCAACCCCACCUUCCUGUGGAGCCCUGAGGCAGCAUCCCAUGGAGUCUCCCCGAAUGCAGAGCAGCUGCCUCAGUCCCAACACAAGGACUUUAAGCUCUGUCUGCCCAGCAAGCAGAAGAGCAUGCAGCGUGAACCCAGGAAAAUUUGGAAGAUACUGAAAAAGCACCAAAAAGAAAAUAAAGAUCGGUCACAUCAUGCUGAGUUAACCAUGAGUUUCACUUAUUAGCCCAGGCUGCCCUGGACCUUGAGGCGAUCCUCCUGCCUCCGCCUCCAAAGUGCUGGGAUUAUAGGUCAUUCCGGACUCCCGACGCCGCCGCCAGUCCCUUGGUGAGACAGCAGCACCACUGGCGUCCGUGGCCUCUGUUUCCGUGGCAACCCAGUAACCAUUAAUUUUCAAUUAAAGGAGACAAAAAGCUCAAUGACAGCUCCAGGUCCGCUGAAGAUGUCAAGAAUGUGUAUUAAUAUACAGCACGAGAGCAUAAUUGUGUGUCCAUCUUCCAGAGCAGCGAAAAAUGGAGGGAUAAUUACCAGCUCGAAAGCCACUCUGUAAUUUAGUUCUUACUGUCACCACAACCCUGCACAUUAGCAUAAAUUAAAAGCGGAGUUUAUUGUUAUCAAAG
ensembl:lncRNA